rnacentral:tRNA from 2 species
CGCGGGGUGGAGCAGUCUGGUAGCUCGUCGGGCUCAUAACCCGAAGGUCGUUGGUUCAAAUCCAACCCCCGCUA